AUAUUAUUUUAUAUCAAUAUAAUCUCAAGCUAAUAUCCAUGCACAACAUAUAUAUUCUUGAUGUUCUAUUAUUCAAAAUUUUCUGAUUUUAUUUAAAAAGUCAAUGACCCGCGCCUAAUAAUUUAGGAGAUUUGUGUCAGUUAACAGAAUAAUUUUGGUUCAAAAUACAUAUAAUACAUGAUGGAUAGCAUCAUGAUGAUAUUAUAUGGAUGGUAUCUAAACUUCACCAAGAUGGUCUAUCAUC
rnacentral:lncRNA from 1 species